CGAAAGAGGAGAGUUCGCUUUGAGAUGUCGGAGUUGUAAGAAUAGGAGAUCGGAAGAAUGUCGGUGGGUUUCGGCUGAAUGAGAAACCAACGAGAGCACCGGUCAACAGGUUCGCCAGUUUACCGGUUGAACCGGCGGUUCAUCCCAAAACCGCCCAGUUUAAUGCAAGGGCGAUUUUCAGACUGGACCGAACCAGUCCUCAAACCGGUUCACGGUUGAACCGACCGGUCCGGUCCGGUUUUCAAAGCACUGAUAGUGGAGAACAACUUCUUUUUUUUCACAUAUUUUUUAAAUUUCUAAAAAUAAUCUUGGAUGAAAUUUCUAACACUUCUAUUUACUAUGCAUGAGAUUUGGCAAUGAUCAUAAUAAAGAUAUAUAUAUAUAUAUAUAUAUAUCACCACCUAGAUCAAAUUCCUUCAUAUUCCACUUCAUUUUCAAACCAACCUUGAUUUCUUAAUUGAAGGCUUUGUUGUUCUUAUUUUUCAUCUUUCUCUUGAUUUUUAUAGCAAACAUACUAGAUUUGUUGAAGCCUUUGAUGAGAAAGAGAGAUUGAUGUAGAAUUUUUGAUACAAUAUAAUUUUGUACUUCAUCAAUAUGAACACAUCUUCUAAUGAUGCACUGAUGAUUAAGGAUUAUCUUCUAAA